rnacentral:lncRNA from 1 species
CUCGGGAAGUAUUGUCAACUGGGAUGGAUGCUGUGAUCAGGAGAGGCAAUAAACGUCUGGCCAUAACCAUGGCUUUCCCAUUGUGAACAACUGAGACCAAUAGGUCCAGUACCAGAGGCCCUACAACAACUUAAAGUAUCAGAUUUACUAUUGCCUGGUAGUUCUGACUGGGAUACAGGAAAUAUCGACCGUUAUUUACCUUUCCACAAAAUUCUGACUGGGAUACAACAACUUAAAGUACGACUUCGGUCUCCUCGCCCCUCAUGGCAGAAACUUUGGCUGUUAUAAAAUCCAUGAACUCUGCCCUUGCUCGCGGUUUAGACGACAUCUCGAUACUCA